rnacentral:lncRNA from 1 species
CUACUAAUUCAGCACAUUCAGAAAUCUGAGGGGCUGGCGGAUAGCGUAGUAGUUGGGUUUGUGUGUUCCACUUCCUAGCCUUGGUUUGCCGGUUCAGAUCCUGGGCAUGGACCUACACACUGCUCAUCAAGCCACGCUGAGGCUGCAUCCCACAUAGAAGAACUAGAAGGACUUACAACUAGGAUAUACAACUAAGUACUGGGGUUUUGAGAAGGAAAAAAAAAAGAGGAAGAUUGGCAACAUAUGUUAGCUCAGGGCCAAUCUUCAAAAAAAGCAAAGAAAUCUGAUAAGGCAGGUGACAUCUCAGCAAAGCCAGGGAGGAGACUAAAGCACAUCAUCUUACCGUGGGAGGAUAUACAUUUCCCUGCAUCCAGAUCUGAAGGCAGGGUGUAUGCAGACGGUGAGAAUCAGCACGGGAUGGGGGCCGGCAUGGCAUGUGGGCUACGUGGGAUUCCGAAGCACUCCAGCAGCUGACCAAGGACCAGGACAGGGACUGAUGGAGCUGCAGGAGAGAAGAGUACAGGGCACUUUGAGCAGCAAGUGACAGAAAAUCAACCCACACUAGGUUUAAAACAAGAGUGAUUUGUCUGAAGAACACAGAGGCAGCUCCAAAGACCGUCAGCAGGACCCAGAGCCAUUCUGGGGUCUCAGGGACUGGAACUAGGAAUCCAAACAUUGUCAGCAUAUUUUCUCUCUCUCCCUCCCCCCAUCCCUCCUCUGCUCCACUGAGGCUUCAUUCUCUUAAUAGAAGUGGACAUUCUUUGCCCAGCAGGACAAAGUGGCCUUCAGCAAGAGUUAAAGUCACAUCCUGAAAGAUUUGCAACCAGCGAUGUCUUUUCAUCUCUGAAUCUCAGUUGGAAAGAUCCUAGGGAAUGGCUCAGACUGUCUAGAAACAUCUGAAGUCAACACGGCGGAAGUGAGAACAAUCUAGAUGCUGAUGACUAAGAGCCUGUUAUUCUGUCGUCCCUCCUUUCUUGACUGCUUGAAAUGCCUUAUAAUAAAAC